rnacentral:rRNA from 1 species
GACGAACGCUGGCGGCGUGCUUAACACAUGCAAGUCGAGCGGAAAGGCCCUUCGGGGUACUCGAGCGGCGAACGGGUGAGUAACACGUGAGUAAUCUGCCCUUCACUCUGGGAUAGCCACCGGAAACGGUGAUUAAUACCGGAUACGACCACCGUGGGCAUCCGCUGGUGGUGGAAACUUUUUUGGGUGGGGGAUGUGCUCGCGGCCUAUCAGCUUGUUGGUGGGGUAAUGGCCUACCAAGGCUUCGACGGGUAGCCGGCCUGAGAGGGUGACCGGCCACACUGGGACUGAGACACAGCCCAGACUCCUACGGGAGGCAGCAGUGGGGAAUAUUGGACAAUGGGCGGAAGCCUGAUCCAGCAACGCCGCGUGAGGGAUGACGGCCUUCGGGUUGUAAACCUCUUUCAGCACCGACGAAGCGCAAGUGACGGUAGGUGCAGAAGAAGGACCGGCCAACUACGUGCCAGCCGCCGCCGUAACAC